UAUGCACCAUCCUGCAGUUGCACUCUCUCUGCACCUGUGUGCUCUCGCAGUGCAGUCUGCAGGCGCUGACGCUGUAGGUGUCGUAUCCUGGGAUCACAGGCUCAGAUGAAGCCCGACAGUUUCCCCACGGCUGUGGCAGGAAACAAAUGUCUGGAAUCCUGGAGAGACCCCAAAGCCCAGCUGGUGGAUGUAAGGGGUUCGUUCUGACUAUGAAUCUGAACCCGAAUACCUGCUUCCAGCGUCGUCUCAUCUGAAGAUGGACAAAUUGUAUUGGUUCUUCAUCUCAUGGCGGGUCUGAAUCUCUCUGCAUGCUCCCGUCCUAGAGCUGGAUGUUUUGAAAGUGUGUUCUCAUCUUGCCUUGGGCAGUGUAAGACAUCCUGGAACUCAGAGGCAGAUGUUGCAUCAGAGCUGGAGGGCUUGUCUUCAGCUCAUUUUUACCACUCAGAAACAGGCACUGACAGAAUUGCCUUUUAGAUUGUAUAAAAUCAGAGGUUUGGAUACAAUGUUUGUCCUGUUUUGUUGUAUUUACAGUAGGCUUUAUCUAGAAAUCUGUACUUUCAGUAUAAAACGAAAUUUGUUAAUCUUCAAUUUGAAAGGUGCCGAGAUGUACAAAAACACCUCAGCGUCCCACUUUGAAACCACCUGGAUCUCAUUCUCGCUCUUUUCUCUCUCUCUCUCUCUCUCUCUCUCUCUGCCUGUCCUUAUAAUGACCUCUCACUGGGACAGCUUGCCAUUACACAUUUAUCCAUCUCUAUCUUUUUGUGUGUUUGCUUUUUUGGUCAUGUUUUCCUAUCCACAAAGAUCAGCAGGCAUCUCAUCUGUCAGUCUUAGCCCUCAAACCUUUUAUUAAAGAGAUAAUGUCUAUCGAUUGACGUAAAUGUUAGACCUAACAUUGUGUCAGUUACAUCUCACUGUUUACUACACCCACAGAAUGCUAUACUGCAGACCAGAAACAGCAAAAAAAUUAAAAAUCUGCACAUGAAUUGUCCUGUCUCUUGGGAGCAACCAUUCGGGACACUGCACUGACAUCACAGCCUAGAGUCAAAAGAAAUGUCAGCAUUUCUGUCCUGUUGCUGAGAGAAGAGGGAAUGGGAUAUGGACCGAGCGCAUGCAUCACAUCAGGGACUUUUACAUAUUUACAACUGUAUGUGUAGAAGAUAACCAAAAAGAGAGCUCUGUAUUGCUUCCACCCCCGAUCGCAUUCUCACAUCCGAUGUCUUGUGUUGCAGAGCUCCGAAACAUUAAAACUGUCGGAAUUUGUUUCGAUCUAAAAAUGAUUUCCUUCAGCAAUUUAAAACCUGUCUGAACAAGAGUGUUUUCCACCACAUAUCAGGAAACAGAUCAAAGCACCCAAUGACAGUGUGGAAUCUUUUGUGUUUGUGUCGUGCAUAAUGCGUCUGCUUGGUGACAGGUCAUUUCUGUGUAAUUAUGACAGCUGUGGUUGGUUACGGCCAUUUGGGUGACAGAGGGUGUCGGCAUACCGUAGCACCCGAACUGUCAUAUCUGUGAUAUAAUGGGUUAUUUACACUGAUAUCUUAGGGGCAAAGAAUAUAAAAAAGACGAUGAGAAACAGAGCAAGAGGAAACAGAUAAAACAAAGUACAUGAAAAGAAAGCACAUUUUAAAAGACGAGAUGGUGGAACUUAAUUAACAACUGGAUUUUUAGUUGAUUUUACUUCAUCAACCAUUAAUUAUUUAAAAGAAAAAAGAAAAAAAGAUCCCUUUAUUCACUCACUACCAUUCAAAACUUUGAGGUCAUUGCGAUGUUUUCAAAAGAAGUCUCUUCUGCUUACCAAGGGUGCAGUUAUUUGAUAAAAAAUACAGUAAAAAGUAGUCAUUCUUUUUUAAUUGUAACACUCGGGCUGAGAUGCAUUUACACCUGGUAUUUUAAUCCGUCUCUUUUGUCCACUUUCAACCACUUCUGUCCCUAUUUCUUUGAGCGGAUGGUCUAAGGACGGGUAAAUGUAUGUUUUUUUUUUUUUCAGAUCUUUCGAUCUAAUGAACAAAGUAAGUUUGUGCAAUUUAGAUAUGAACGCGCCUGGAGACAACGGAAAAACAUACUGAGAGCAUCAGCUUU